rnacentral:rRNA from 1 species
UACAGAGGGUGCAAGCGUUCAUCGGAAUUACUGGGCGUAAAGCGUGCGUAGACGGUUACAUAAGUCGGGUGUGAAAGCCCCGGGCUCAACCUGGGAAUUGCAUUCGAGACUGCGUAGCUAGGGUGCGGAAGAGGGAAGCGGAAUUUCCGGUGUAGCGGUGAAAUGCGUAGAUAUCGGAAGGAACACCAGUGGCGAAAGCGGCUUCCUGGUCCAGCACCGACGUUCAGGCACGAAAGCGUGGGGAGCAAACAGG